AGAGUUUGAUCCUGGCUCAGAACGAACGCUGGCGGCAGGCCUAACACAUGCAAGUCGAGCGCCCGCAAGGGAGCGGCAGACGGGUGAGUAACGCGUGGGAACGUGCCCUUUGGUUCGGAAUAUUCCCGGGAAACUGGGAGCAAAACCGGAUAAGCCCUUCGGGGGAAAGUUUACGCCAAAGGAUCGGCCCGCGUUAGAUUAGGUAGUUGGUGGGGUAACGGCCUACCAAGCCUACGAUCUAUAGCUGAUCUGAGAGGAUGAUCAGCCACACUGGGACUGAGACACAGCCCAGACUCCUACGGGAGGCAGCAGUGGGGAAUCUUGGACAAUGGGCACAAGCCUGAUCCAGCCAUGCCGCGUGGAUGACUGAAGGCCCUAGGGUUGUAAAGUCCUUUCGACGGGGACGAUAAUGACGGUACCCGUAGAAGAAGCCCCGGCUAACUUCGUGCCAGUAGCCGCGGUAAUACGAAGGGGGCUAGCGUUGUUCGGAUUUACUGGGCGUAAAGGGCGCGUAGGCGGAUUUUUAAGUCGGGGGUGAAAUCCCGGAGCUCAACUCCGGAACUGCCUUCGAUACUGGAAGUCUGGAGCACGGUAGAGGUGAGUGGAAUUCCGAGUGUAGCGGUGAAAUGCGUAGA
rnacentral:rRNA from 1 species